rnacentral:lncRNA from 1 species
AUCCCUUCUCCUUAGGAAGGUUUUUUUUUCUCGCAAAAAUCAAGAAAUUGAAUCACUCCAUUCUCAUAAUCUUUACUUAACCUAUUGGAUUUCAUCCAACUACAUCCAUAAUUACAUACAACUUCUGAAAUAAAUAAAAAAAUUACACACUCAACAAUACUACCAUAACAACACACACACUACCAUAGCACAUUAAUAGUAAAUAGGUAUAAGUCUCAAAACCAUAAUAACAAAAACAACAACCAUAUACGACAACGACAUCAACGACAUAAUACACAACAACAACGACAACAAGACAACGAAGAAGAAACAAUAAUAAUAAUAAUAAAGAAGAAUUCGAGAUAAAUAAUUUGUACAUACCGAAAAUAUGAUGAGAGACUCAAUAGAGAAGAAUUCGAGAUUACUUCCUCCUCGAAGAAGAAGGGUGGUGAUUCUGAGUCUUGGGAAACUCCUUCAUUCGCUAGAGAAGAAUGGGUUCCUUUCGUUCGCUAGGGCGCAAAAAGUGAAUGAGACAAAACAUUAUAAUUCUGAAAGAAUAAAAAUCAUUUUUAUAGUUAUCAUCUCAAUUUUCUUCAACAUCAGAGGGAUAAUAAAACAUAAAAUUGCAGAAGCUGAGAAUGGAAGCUCAAACACUGAACAAUAUUUGAUGUCGGUUUUCCUAGAAAACCGAGGUGAAAUAUGAUAAAGUUUCUUUAAAAAAUAUAAUAUAUAGCGCGUUCAAGGCCAUUUGACCUCGGUUUUUCAAUAACUAAGGUGAAAGCUUCGUCAUGAAAUGUAGAAUUUAUAGUAGUGACAUAAUAUGGUCAUAAGAAUCAAUAAUUUCGGAAGAGACAAUGUUUAACAUGUGUUUCAUUACAUGAUACUCACACCUGUAUCCCUCUUCUUGUCUCCUCGUCUACAAAUUUAAAUAUUUCAUGAAUAUAUAUAUAUAUAUAUAUAUAUAGAGAGAGAGAGAGAGAGAGAGAGAUGUCACAAGUAAUCCACUUAUCUUGGUCGUAUAAAAUGUGAGUUUUUUUAGAAUUGUUCGUAAAAUAAUGUCACUCCACAAUCCUGUAUAUUAAAAAUUAUUUUAAAAUAUUACGCGCUAAACUAAUUACAAAGUCAAAGAAAAUAUUACUAAAAGUCUCAUAAACAUAAACUUAUCUAGUAAUAAUUUGUUUCAUCUUAAGUUUAAGUGGAUUGUGUAAGGAACACAGUGUAGUUACCGUAUUCUUCCGAAGAGAUGUGAUGAUCAAUUGAAAAUGUUCACUAAAUGAACACAAGCAUAUAUAAUUAGAAUUUGGUAAAAUAUGGAAACUAAUUAUAAUAGAGAAACCACAAUUUCAAAAUUACUCACGCUUGGAUAAAUGAUGUUAAGUAAAAGUCUUUUCUCUCGAUAUCUCUAGUUAUGGGCUACAUUUAUCAUUUCGUAUAGAACUAAUUCACUCACUUAUUUUUGAAUUUUGUUUAACUAUUUAGGUUACUAUCCAUCGGGUAGUUAUAAUUAAAUAAAUCAGAUAUUAUGGAUUAUUGGAUUCCCAGUUGAGUAUUUGAUUUACAAGUAAUAGUUCCAAAAUGAUUGAAACAGCAGAUAACAUCACAGUUAGGCGAUGAGAAAAGACUUUACUUAACCAUCAUUUAAUCCCCAAGCGUGAGUAAUUUGAAAUUGUGGUUUCCUCUAUUAUAAUUAUUUCCCAGUAUUUACCAAAUUCUAAUUAUAUAUGCUGUGUGUUCAUUUAGUGUGAACAUUCUUCAUUGAUCACAUCAGUCCUCUUCGGAAGAAAUACGGUAACUCUACAUGUGUUUUCCUUACACAAUCCACUUAACUUUAAGAUGAAACAAAUUAUACUAGAUAAGUUUAUGUUAUGAGACUUUUAGUAAUUUUUCUUUGACUUGCCUGUAAUAGUUUAGCGGUAAUAUUUUAAAAAUAAUUUUUAACUAUACCAGGAUUGCUGGAGCUCGACUUAUGUUUCGAAACAAUUCUAAAAAAUCACUAUUUAUCCGACAAGAGAAGUGAAUUACUUGUGACAUCUCUCUCUCUCUCUCUCUCUCGUCAUAAUAAUAAUUGAUAUAUUAUAUAUUCUGAAAUAUUUAAAAAAUUGUAGACGAGGAGACAGAAGAGGAAUACAGGUGUGAGUAUCAUGCGUAAUGAAACAACCCAUGUAAACAUUGUCUCUUCGAAAAUUUUGAUUCUUAUGACCAUAUAUGUCACUACAUAAAUUCUACAAUUCAUGACGAAGCUUCACCUAGUAUCAUUGAAAAACCGAGGUCAAUGGCCUUGAACGCGCUAUAUAUUAUCAUUUUUUCUUAAAGAAACUUUAUCCAUAUUUCACCCCUCGGUUUUCUAGGAAAACCGACAAUCAAAUAUUCUCAUUAGUUUGAGCUGUCCAAUUUCAGCUUCUUGCAAUUUUAUGUUAUUAGCUCCCUGAUUGUUGCAGAAAAUUGAGAUGAUAACUAUAAAAAUGAAUUUUUAUUCUUCAGAAAUUAUAGAAUGUUGUCUCAUUCACUUUUGCGCCUAGCGAACGAAAGGAACCCAUUCUUCUCUAGCGAAUGAGGAGUUCCCAGCAGAUCUCAGAAUCACCACCCUUCUUCUCGAGGAGGAAGUAACUCGAUUCCUUCCUCUAUUGAGUCUCUCAUCUAUAUUUUCGGUUAUUAACCGUACAAAAUUAAUUAUCUCGAAUUCUUCCUUUAUUAUUAUAUAUUGUUUCUUCCUUCGUUGUCAUUGUGUCGUUGUUGUGUUAUUAUGUUCGUUUGAUGUCCGUUGUCGUAUAUGGUUGUUAGUUCUUUGUUAUUAUGGUUGAGACUUAUUUACUAUUUACUAUAAUGUUGCAUCUGUGAGUGUUGUGUUGUUGUUAUGGUAUUCUGAGUGGUGCUACUCUUAUUUUAUUUAUUUUCAGAAGUUGUAUGUAAUUAUGGCAUCGCUGAGUUGGUGAAAUCCAAUUAGGUUAAGUAAAGAUUAUGAGAAUGGAGUGAUUCAAUUUCUUGAUUUUGCGGAAAAAAAAAACCUCCUAAGGAGAAGGGCACUUUUUGGGUGUCCUUGCUAAAAAAAAAUCGAAAUAUUCACAAACAUCUAAGGGAUGAAAUAUUCAAUCAUUGUAGGUUGGUAUGAAAUUAUUCAAAAUAUAAAGUAAUAGUAUAUGAGCCUGGUGAAGUGAACAACAAAAGACUCUGUCACAUACAGUGAAGAUGAUUAAUUAAUGAAUGAUAUACUCUCAGAAACAUGUUCAUGAUAUUGGGAUAGAUGCUUCAAAAGCUAAUUUGAUAAUUAACUUUGCAAAAAGACAUGGAAGAGUCGUUGUAUCUGGCGAUGCAAAGUUUUAAAAUAUUAUCAUUUGUGUUAAGACUACAUAAGUAUAACGCUAAGGGCGGGAAGGAGGGUGGGCUGGACAGAUAAAAGUUUCAAACAUGAAUUGCUUGGAAUUGUGCAAGAACCAUGCUUACAGAAGGUAGACACGUUGUCGAACCUCUAGUUAUUAAGCCAAGAAGGAUAUUGUGUCCAAUAGGUUGGAUUAUGUUAAAAUACAUGUAUGUCGUAUAUGAUUAACAUAGUAUAGUAGGAAAGAAUAUGAAAACUUGAAGGAGUAGUCCAGAUACUGGGGAGCACGCUAUAAGAAAGAAGGUCAAUGGUGUUGAAGAUUGAUGAUAUAAACUAGAAAAGGUGUUCCUCAAGGUGAUGUGGUACCUAACGGUAGCCUUAAAUGUUUCAAAGCAAUUGUUCUCUAAUGCAAAUGAUGCCAAAUAAUACUAGUGGCAUGCAAUGAAAGAGUGUGUGAUGGAAAAAUUCGCCAUGUAGCUGAUUAUUGCAACAAGAAGAAAAAUGGUUCCUUAGUUCCCAGAUUUUCACCUAGAAGUAGCGACCGUAGGCUUGGACUUGCACACUUGACGAAAUGAACCAUUUUCGCGUAAUUUGAGUACUAACAAAUACAUCACGGCUCCGUUCUUCUCAUAAUUUACAACCUAUCUACAUGUGUGUUCACGGAGUGCAAAACAACCCAGGGAACAUAGGAGUUGUUUAUUUAACUCAUUGAUUGAAGAUUUAAGACUUUUUGGGAGGAGGCCGUACGUUGUGUAUGAGUGCAUAUACAAGUGAUAACUUUAAAGCUGCGUGCCAUAUUGUUUUGCACAAUCAUGACUUUCCUACAUUCACGUAAUUUGUCUAGGUACAUCGUCAAGGACAUAAAGCGUUCCUAUAUCGUGAAUUUGUACAUUCACACGCAAUAUAAAAAUUGGAAAAAAAAGACUAUUUAAUCUUGGGAAUCGAAAAUUUUCAGAUCUAAUCAUCCAUACCUGUAGAUGGUGAAAUGACUUUUUAAUGGAUGGAGUAAGCGUUUGAUUUUUCUCCAAAUCCCCUUAACCGAGAAGGAAUUAUAAGAUAGGCACAACACAUUAAGGUCUACUUUUGAAAGAAACUAAAAGAUAAACAAAAAGGCCCAUGGAGAAAAUAUAGUUGAAAAAGAGGUCGGUGUUCUUUGAUCUCCACAUAUUGGUCUUGUCUUAUGUAAGACAUUAUCUUUGAUGUGAUGUAUGUGGAGAAAAUAUAGUAUGUGAUAGUUUGAUUGGAAACCUUUGCAAUAUUAAAGGCAAGCAAAAGAUACUAAGGAAUCCCAUGAAGACAUGUUUUGUGAUGGAAAUACGUUAAGAUUUGCCCCAAAAGAAAUGGGAAAUAAAACAUAUUUUUCUCCAGCUUGUCACACUCUUCUGAAAAAAAAAAAUUGUGAUUGUUACAGGGUAAUCAAAGUUUCCCAAGGGUACUCAUCAAAUGUAAAAAAACUUGUGUCAGAGAACGAGUCACAAAUUGUGACUAAAAUCCAUGAUUGUCCAUGUAUUGAGCAACAACUUCUACCAAUGGCUAUUUGCUGACAUUUACUAGGAAUGCAAGGGGUAACUAUAACUAGAUUGUAUCCUUAUUCUUCAAUGAUAUAUGUAGUAAAGUCAUUGAUCCUAAAACAUUUAGACGAGUUGGAACAUGAGGCUGGAAAUUAUCUUGUGUUUAAUUAGAAGAUGUUUUCCCUCCAUCGUCUUUGGACAUUAGGUUCAUUAGUUGUUCAUCUUAGUAAGGAGAUUAAAAUUUGUGGUCUCGUUUAUUUACAGUGGCAUGUUAUUCUCAAUAGCAGCUGAUACAUCAAGAUCUGUCAAAGGGUAUAAAAAGAAUCCUCAUCGUUAAGCUCGCAUCAUUUAAUGAUAUACCAUAUAAGAAGCUAUUGAGUUGUGUUACAAUGUAUUUGUCAGAAGGUUAACUCUAUAGAAGUUUCCCGAGUUCUCGUCAUGAGGGAAGAUAUGAUGGUAGAGGUACUCAGAGUUAAAUGUUAAAACUUUUAAGCGGAAGAUGCUAGGUUCGUCAAACAACAUUUGUUAUAUAUUGAAUAACCGUGGAUAAGUUGAACCUUUACUUUGACCGUUCACAAAAGUCUUUAUAAAGGAAAAUAAUCCCGGAGUGAAUGAAAAAUUGUUGUUGACAGAGCCCUCAACAAAAAUUCAUAACUUGGUUUAAUGAAAGUAUUUCUAAUAGAGAGUAGUUGUGGCAUCAGAGACUAUUAAAAUGGUUGUCCCGUACUGCUAAGUUUACGUAAUUACUUGGAGUGCAUACAUAUUACUAGAUAUGUUAUUCUAUACAAAAUCAAAGGAUUGACCGUAGUACCAUACAAAAAUAGUGGGCUUAUGAGUUAACCAUGAAUCCAUGUACGGUCUCUAGUGCCAAAGAUAACAAAUCUGUACUAUCUAGAGCAUACUUUUGAGAAGAUUAUGGAGAUUGAUUAUGUUUCUUUCAAAGUUUCUUUAUUUAAGUGAAAAUGGAUUGACAGAUAACACUGGUGUAGAAAACCGAAGAUAGGAGUUCACAGCGGUUGAUCUUCGAAGACAACUAUAUUAAGAAUGAACCAUUCAUCAUGGAAACCAAGCCGAAACAAGUUAUUGUAUGUCACUAAUCCUUCUAAGGACUUAGCAUGGCUAAAUGUACUUUAAGGAAACGUCUUUCUGGUGAAAAUCAAGAAUUUUACACUAGCGAGAAACCCCUUGUUUCGCAACGACAUUAUAAGUUUAAUCCAUCUAAAAACAAACGAUUCAGAUGAUGUGCCAAUGGUUAUUUGUCGUGAUCAUAAACAAGGAAUAUGGGAAAACUAGUAUAGUACAAAUUUUAUAUCACUUAGUAACUUACAAUCUAUUCAUUUUACUUUUUUUUAUUCCUUUUAGCUAAAGAUUUAAUGUUCUUGCGUGAUUUUCCCUAAUUGGUUUACAAUUGUUGGUUCAAAUGUAUAGGUGUUUAACGACUGGUGACAAUCUUAGCAAUAGAUUUUGCGAACAAUCUACAAAGACUUUUCCAUUUUGGUAAAUUGCUUUUAUUUGUUAAUCAUUGAUUAUCGUUUGUUGUAAUAAAUUAUAAGGUUUGUGUCCAAUAUUUUGGUUUUGCAUUGUGUAAACUAUUGUUCUUCUGUGAAUAUAGUUCUGUAAGUGCAGGCUACAAUUGUUUUUGUUUCAGAAAUCUCGCGAAAUAUGGUUGUUGUAAUUCUGUGAUAUUGGUUACUGUAAUUCAGGUAUUAAGCGAAAAAACAUAAAAAAAAAUCCACCCACCGAUUUUCAAAUAAAGCUGACAUAAUAAUAUAGGGCUAUUUACUCCGGUUUUUUUUAAACAAACUGAGAUUUUAUGUGGGCGUGUCAUCCAAACUUGGUAAAUAAAAAACAAUGCAGAUGUUGGAUUUAAACUCAUGAUCGGAUACCGUUAUCCAUACAGUUUUCAUUAACCCGACGGUGUUUAGUGGCAUAUUUUUUUGUCGUACCUUUGUUACGUCGCUUCAGGUUAAUCGAUAUUAAUCUCUUUCACGCUGGUGACGUAAAAAACGUUCUUUGUUUAUUUGUAGUAGCUGUGUCAAGAAAUUGUUUUAUAAUAACAUAUUAUAUGUUAAAAAUUGUUAUAUAUUAUACCAUCAUGUAAUAUUCAAACUUUCUUCCUUUUUAUUGUGGAAGUUUAACAAACAGCGACACUGUAUUCCCCGAUGAUUUAAAAGACAUAUUUAGACAUUGGAACCUUAUUUUCAAUCGAUACUUGAAAAUGGUACUAAGAUAUUGAUUUUUUUAAGCUUUGAUUUUUGAAAUACUUAUAAUUUUGGACUUAAUAUAAAUAAUAUAUAUAAUCAUAAUAUAAUAUUGGUAAAACAUAUAGGUUUGUAAUAAAUGAGAAAAAAAUUAAGUAUUUCACCAGUGUUGAUUAAAGAAGCAUCGUGAUGAUAGGUUAUCGCACCACAUAUUAUAUAUGCUGCAAUCCUUUAGGAGUAAAAUGUUUAGAACUUUUAAUAUAUUGCAUAGGCGGUUGUUUAUAUAUAAUGUUGUGAUAGGGUAGUAGUUCUUAGUUUAUCAUACAUGUCACAUGUCCGGUGAAAAAAUAUCAUUCCACUUAUAAUCCACAUCUUAAUAUCUCAACAUUAGUCAAUCAAUAAUUGUAUUAUUUUUUCAACAUUUAUAAGAUGAGUAUUCGUAAGAUAGUGAGCCGUAUCCUAAUUCUUUUAAUGCUCAUGCCCUAUUCUUGGAUUGGUAAAGAAAACAAAUUUCUUUAAUCCCUCUUUUUAGGAACACCUCGCAGUGAGUGUACACCCCUGCUUUUAGAACACUCCACAAUACAUCUUUUAAUUUAAUAAAUUUUUUAAACAAAAAUUUAAUUUUAAUUAAAAAUGAAUAAAUUGCUCCAUAAAGUGCAUUCAAUGACACAAGUUGCAUCAAUAAUGAGGCUCAUCAACCUGGCCUUUUUAGUAGUUGCUUAAUUGAUGGAAAAGCCAUUUACAUGGAUAAGAACCUUCAACAAAUUAUAUUAUAGGCAUAAUAAUCAUUAAAUAAUUUAUUACCUAACUACAACUAAAAUGUCCCUGUCAAAGCAAACUACAACAUAACNNNNNNNNNNNNNNNNNNNNNNNNNUUCCAGCUGUUGUUGUAUGAGAGAGAUCAGAGCAGCCUCCGGAACAGUCUGCUUAACAGAGGUGAAAGUAACCGCCCCAAAUAGGUUAUUCCCAUAGGCCUACUACCAGUAACAUUGAAAUUGCAUCCUCAAAAUACAAGUAAGCCAUCUCACACAUUCCACAAGAGCAAUAACACAAGACCAAUGUCGGUAGGUGAAGAGUGAACAUGGAAUUAAUAUCCGUCUCUUCCAAAACUGAAGCAAACCUCAAAAACACAUAGAAGACAAGUAACAGAUCAAGCCAAAAGACAUGAAACCGUUAAAGGGUCAUAAGAGGGCCAGUUUACCAGGAAGAUAACCAUUGAUUUCUCCAUACAGUUUUUCCGUACAGUAGUCCCUUUCAGGUAGGAUUCACAAACAAAGUAAAGAUAAACUGCCACGUAGCAUUGAUUUCAACAGUUUGAAGACUCCAUCAUUGAGCAACUUCACGAUCUCUACGGCAAGAAGUUUGAUCCGUUGGGAAGUCAGGAAUUAUCAGGAUUAUUAUGAAUGAUAACUUCCACCAAAACAUGAUAUUCUUUAGCAAGAUCAGGGGUACAAACAAUGUAAAUCAGACCUUGGGAUUAAAAAUAGAACCCACCGAUUCUUUUCUGUCUUGUAACUUCAAGAAUAAUUGCUUCACAAGGAACAGUAUGGGUUUGCAUUUUGCCAUUCAGGAGAGUAGCAGAUUCUGGGUCUGUUGAAGACAUUGUUUCGAACCUGGAAUUGAUUUGAAAAGAAUGAAACCUAAACCCUAACCCUAUCUAACCGUAAUAGUGAGUGAAAGAAAAGAGUGUGAGAUUGGUAAUACCUGAAAGAAAGACGAAGAAGAGGAGAAGCAUAGCUUCUGUUCCGGCGUGGAAGAAGAAAGCGGUGUGGAACGGUGAGUGAAGGGUUCGUUGUGUGUAGUGCAUGAAUUGAAGCAGACAUUCUACUAAGGAAAUGGUAAGAAGAGUGCAAUAUAUAGAUCACAGGUUUUCACACUCAUCUGAACCCCAUCAUCGUCCAUAUCAUCAGAAUGAAGAAAGAGAAAAAUGAGAGAGAGCAUCGAUAGUAGUAACAAGCAGGUUGAGUAAACCGUUAGUUGACUGUGAUCUUGGAUUCAAUCUCUCACUCACCUCUGUCUCCACCUUUUGGUUUUAUUUUUUUUUAAUUUAAAAGACUUUAGACAACGCUUUUGGUUUUAUUUUGUUUUUUAAUUUAUAGACUUUAGAACAGCGCUUUACAAAAGCGCCUGACUAAGGUUCUCUAUAUUUAAAAGCGCUUUCUAAACAGCGCUGUCUAAGGGGGGUCUUAGAACACGCUUUAGAAAGCGCUGUCUAGACCCCCCCUUAGACAGCGCUUUCAUUAUUUUUGGAACAGUUCACGUGUUUAUUUUAAUUUUAACCUAGACAGGCUUCUUCUUACAACAAGCGCUGUCUAGAUGCGCUGUAAAAGUCAGUUUUUGCUCGUAGUGGUUUGAUUCUAUUUUGCUGUCCGGUGUAUUUUUGAUGAAUUAAGAGACAUACGGUGAAACGCCCAAUAAUUGGUACACAUGAAGUUAGUGAUGGAAUCAAUUUCCUUACAGAAUUGUUGUAUUGUAGUGCCAAGAAAACAGAAAGGAAGUGAUUUCAGGCAUUCGCCCACCGAUAAUUGAGAACCAUAAGUGAUAUUGACGUCUUUUCUGAAAUAAUAGAUAACAAAAAUUGUUCAUCUCACAUUAUAGAUAAGAAGCGAUCUAAUUCUCUCUUAACUGUAACAUGAGUCGAGAGUUAGAGUGUUUCUAUGUCGAUCCUAACUGAUAUAAAGAUGUUUUGCCAUGGGAAAAUGAUGUUGGCAUGUAUGAUACUUCAGGUUUGGUGCACGUAGUAUCAGAAUUGGGAUAUCUCAGUUAUGGUACAUUUAUCAUUCGUUACUAGAACUUAAUUCACUCACUUAUUUUUGAAUUUUGUUUAACUAUUUAGGUACUAUCAUCUGGUUAGUAUAAUUAAAUAAAUCAGAUAUUAUGGAUUAUUGGAUCCCAGUUGACGUAUUUGAUUUACAAGUAAGUAGUUCCAAAAUGAUUGAAACAGAGAAACAUCACAGUUAGGCGAUAUAUCCAAUUCUAUACCUACGUGCACCAAACCUGAAGUAUCCAUACAUGCAACCACUAUUUUCCAAUGGCAAAAUCCUUUAUAUCAUUAGGAUCGACAUAGAAACACUCUAACUCUCGAUCAUGUUCCAGCUUAAGAGGAAUUAGAUCUUUCUUAUCUAUAAUGUGAGAUAACAAUUUGGUUAUUGAUUAUUCAGAAGAAGUCAAUAACUCAUUAUGGUUCUCAUUAUCGGUGGGGAUGCCUGAACAACUUCCUUUUGUUCUUGCACUACAUACAACAAUUCUUUAAGGAAAUUGAUCAUCACUAACUUCAUGUGUACAUUAUUGGGCAGUUUCACUUAUUCUCUACAUCAUCAAAAUAACAGGAACACAAAAUAGAAUCAACACAAUAUAUAUCAUACAUUUCAGAUAUCACAAUAUUCCCACAUACCACAUAUAACUCUUUCAUUUCUUCCACAUCUUUGCUUCGAUUUUCCCACUCCUUUGCUAAUGCAUCUUCAACUUCUUUAUUUUAUCAUUCCAACUUCUUCUCAAACUCUUCAAUCGUUUCUUUUUGCGUUUGUCCGUUGCUUUUUUCUGGAUAUACCAUAGAAUAAUCUCAGGCAUAUUUCAUCUCUAACACCACGGACACGCCUACCAUGCUUCUUUGGUCCGACUACUCCUAUUAAUAUANAUAUAUAUAUAUAUAUAUAUAUAUAUAGAGAGAGAGAGAGAGAGAGAGAGAGAGAGAUGUCACAAGUAAUCCACUUAUCUUGGUCGUAUAAAAUAUGAGUUUUUUUAGAAUUGUUCGUAAAAUAAUGUCACUCCACAACCCUGUAUAUUAAAAAUUAUUUUAAAAUAUUACGCGCUAAACUAAUUACAAAGUCAAAGAAAAUAUUACUAAAAGUCUCAUAAACAUAAACUUAUCUAGUAAUAAUUUGUUUCAUCUUAAGUUUAAGUGGAUUGUGUAAGGAACACAGUGUAGUUACCGUAUUCUUCCGAAGAGAUGUGAUGAUCAAUUGAAAAUGUUCACUAAAUGAACACAAGCAUAUAUAAUUAGAAUUUGGUAAAAUAUGGAAACUAAUUAUAAUAGAGAAACCACAAUUUCAAAAUUACUCACGCUUGGAUAAAUGAUGUUAAGUAAAAGUCUUUUCUCUCACCUAACUGUGAUGUUAUCUCUGUUUCAAUCAUUUCUGGACUAUUACUUGUAAAUCAAAUACUAAUUGGAUCCAAUAAUCCAUAAAUAUCUGAUUUAUUUAAUUAUAUACUAACACGAUGAAUGUACCUAAAUAGUUAAACAAAAUUCAAAAAUAAGUGAGGAAUUAGUUCUAUACGAAAUGAUAAAUGUACCAUAAUGAGAUAUCCAAUUCUAUACCUACGUGCACCAAACCUGAAGUAUCCAUACAUGCAACCACUAUUUUCCAAUGGCAAAAUCCUUUAUAUCAUUAGGAUCGACAUAGAAACACUCUAACUCUCGAUCAUGUUCCAGCUUAAGAGGAAUUAGAUCUUUCUUAUCUAUAAUGUGAGAUAACAAUUUGGUUAUUGAUUAUUCAGAAGAAGUCAAUAACUCAUUAUGGUUCUCAUUAUCGGUGGGGAUGCCUGAACAACUUCCUUUUGUUCUUGCACUACAUACAACAAUUCUUUAAGGAAAUUGAUCAUCACUAACUUCAUGUGUACAUUAUUGGGCAGUUUCACUUAUUCUCUACAUCAUCAAAAUAACAGGAACACAAAAUAGAAUCAACACAAUAUAUAUCAUACAUUUCAGAUAUCACAAUAUUCCCACAUACCACAUAUAACUCUUUCAUUUCUUCCACAUCUUUGCUUCGAUUUUCCCACUCCUUUGCUAAUGCAUCUUCAACUUCUUUAUUUUAUCAUUCCAACUUCUUCUCAAACUCUUCAAUCGUUUCUUUUUGCGUUUGUCCGUUGCUUUUUUCUGGAUAUACCAUAGAAUAAUCUCAGGCAUAUUUCAUCUCUAACACCACGGACACGCCUACCAUGCUUCUUUGGUCCGACUACUCCUAUUAAUAUAUCAUAUCGUAGUUCUGGAACAAAAGAACCUUCACGGGCCAACACAACCAACGGAUUCUACACAACAUGAAAAGAUAUAUAUUUUUAAUUAUCAAAGUGAACCCUCUUGCAAUUUUCUCAGCGACUUUUCUUGAGGCAUAUGAAGUGUACUCUCAAUUUGUUCUUUGUUGAGCCCUCUUGCAUUUCUCAUGUCGUGAUGGUGGAAAUGGAUUGCGAUCAUGACUCACGGAGUCCUCAUCUCCCAUUUGUUUUAUUUUUUCAUUCAUCAUUGUUUUCUCAAGUUUCCUGUAACCCCCACGAGACAAUCUAUAAGUAGUAUUUAUACCAUAUUCGAAUAGUCUUUGUACAAAAUACUACGAGUGGUAUUUAUAUCAUAUUCGAAUAGUCUUUAUACCAUCAAAGAGUUUAUUUCUAGAUCGAUUCUCUAUCGUGCAAGUAGUAAUCGUAUAAUAUAGAACUGAAUUGUUUUAUCCUGGAGGCGGCGCAAUAGUUCGACUGCUUUGCAUAAUUUUUUACAGUGCCGUGAAAUGUAUUAAAGAGAGCGAAUUAUUCCGCGACUCAUCCCGAUAACUUCUUCUAUGACUAUUUUUAAAAUCCAAAAACAACCGAUUCUUCCUUCAGAAUUGAUUCUACUUGAAACUAGAAUUCAUAGUUUUUAAAUUUAAAUAUAAUUUUUAUAUUGAAAUUUAUGUAAUUUGAAAAUGUUGAUUUAAAAUUGAAAAGAUGAUUCAAUUGAUUGGUGUUUUUUCUAAUAUAGAUGAUUAAAUUAUUCUUUUGGAAGGAUUAAAUUGAUUGAUGAUUACAAUUUCGAGCAAUAAAAUGUUUAUAUAUUUCUAAGUAUUUGCAUUUUAAUUGUGAAAUGAUGGAUGAUUAGCUAUAUAGAAGUUAACAAUACAUAAUAAGCGCGUAAUAGGGUCCCAUUAUCGGUUGGUUACAACGCUAAAAUCCUAACAAAGCCUAAUACAUGAUCCUUUGCCUCCCACCCUCCAUGAAAAUAAUAAAUAACAACAAGACACAUACAUAAUGAACGAGAGAGGAACAUGGGUCCAUAACCCUCUAAGCCAAGGGUCUUGGGCUUAUAUAUACCCAAGUCUUAGCCACUUAUUUGAACACAACAACACACAACAUGGGUUCUUCAUUUUGGACAGUGUGUUUGAUUCUAGCAUCACUUGUUUCUUCUUUAUUCUGUGCUCUCCCAAGGAAGCCAGUGGAUGUACCAUUUGGCAGAAACUAUUACCCUACUUAGGCAUACGGGACAACCAUUUAAUUGUCUCUAAUGCACAAAUACUCUCUUUAGAAAUACUUUCAUUAAACCAAGUUAUAAAAAAUUUGUUAGAGGUAUUUUUCAUUCAUCCGGGGGUAUUUUUCCUUUAUAAGACUUUUGUGAGAGGUCAAGUAAGGUUCAACUUCAUUCAGGUUAUUCUGUAUAUACAAAUGUGCUUGACGAACUGCAUCUCCGCUAAAAGUUUUAACAUUUAAACCUUGAGUACCUCUACCAUCAUAUCUUCCCUCAUGACGAGACUCGGGAAUUCCUAUAGAGUUACCUUCUGACAAAUACAUUAUAUAAAACUCAAUAACUUCUUAUGUGAUAUACCAUUCAAUGAUCGAAGCUUCCGACCGAUGAUGAUUCUUUUUAUACCCUUUUAAGAUCUUGAUGAAUCGCUCUACGAGAUACAUCCACCGUAAAUAAACUAGACCAUAAAUUUUAAUCUCAUUUACUAGAUGAACAACUAAGUGAACAAUAAUGUCAAAGAACGAUGGAGGCAAAAACAUCUCUAAUUGACACAAGAUAAUUGCAGCCUCAUGUUCCAACUUGAAAUUCUAGUAACAGACUAUCGAUGUCACACGGGAUGUUAUGACAUCCAAUUCUGCGCAGACAGGUAAUGUAUGCAGAAAGUAAAUGCAAAAUGCAGUAAAUGACACAGAGAGUUGUUUACCCAGUUCGGUGACAAACUCACCUACUCUGGGGGCUACCAAGCCAGGGAGGAAAUCCACUAUAAGAGGUAUUAAUUCAGGACUUAAACCACCAGUUUAAUCCUAUCACUUAAGACCUACCCAAUGCAAUUUCAAUCUACACUAAGACCUGAGUACCUACUCACUCCCCCUCAAUCACAGCAGUGAUUACAACCAUUAAGAAUUUUAAAGUCAGUGGUGAAGAUAUACUUCAAACAACUCUUGAUUGUGCUUAAAAGCUUUAAUCAAGAAACACAACACUCACGCUUAAAGGCUUAGAGUGACACAACAAUUACAACUCAAUAAACACCCUAGUCCAAUGCAAUCAUCUAGGUGAUAAUUGCUUGGCUCACAAGUACAACCUAAUUCAAGACACAAUGAAAGUACAACAAUGAUAUAUAAUGAUAUAUUGAAUUCUUCACGCUUCAAAUCGCUGAAUUGUUGAAAGUAGGAUUGCCAUCCUUUUAUAAUGCAGUACUUGGGCCUUGAACUUGAAUUUCAUAAAACUAGGGUUAAGCAAGUUAACCUAAUUUCCACACAUUAGGGUGAUAACAAAUAGGCUAUAUGCUAGGUCUCUUAAUUUUAGCAUAGCUGUUAGUUUCCUGAAAAUCAGCCUGAGAUAAAUACUGAAACAUAACAGAAAAAUUAGCCUAUACUUUAGCAUCUGCUGUCAGGGAUGACUGUCAUAAAAUUCAGUUUGACAUCCAGAAAAUGCUGUCAUGAAUGAAUGUCAUAACAUUCAGUUUGACAUCCAGUAAAUCCUAUAUUAGCUAAUCCUGCAGCAUACUACUUAAGCAUGUCAUGACAUCAGUCAAGACAUCUAAGUACAGUAAGUGUUUUAACAUAAAAUGCAGCCAAUCAAAAACAUCUACACAACUCGUCUAAAUUUUCAGGAUCAAUGACUUUACUACAUAUAGCAUUGAAGAAUAAGCAAAAUCUAGUUAUAGUUACCCUUACAUUCCUUGGUAAAAUGUCACAGAUAGCCAUUGGUAGAAGUUGUUGCAUCAAUACAUGACAAUCAUGAGAUUUUAAGCCAACUAAUUUGUGAUGGUUCUCUGACACAAAUUUUUUACAUUUGAUGAGUACCCUUGGAGAACUUCGAUACCCUGUAAACAGUCACAAUUUUAUUUUAUUUUUUAGACAGAGUGUGACAAGCUGGAGGCAAAUAUGUUUUAUUUCCUAUUUCUUUUGGGGCUAAAUCUUGUCGUAUUGCCAUCACAACCAUGUCUUCAUAGGAUUCCUUAGUAUCUUUUGUCUUGCCUUUAAUGUUGCAAUUUUUUCCAAUCAAAAUAUCACAUACAUUUUUCUCCACAUACAUCACAUUAAGACAAGACCAAUAUGGAAGAUCAAAGAACACCGACCUUUUUUUUCAACUAUUUUUCUCAAUGGGCCCUUUUUGUUUAUCUUUUAAUUUCUUUCAAAAGACAACCUUAAUAUGUUGUUGUCUCUUAUAAACUUCCUUCUCGGUUAAGGGCUUUGGAGAAAAAUUAAACUCUUUCUCUCCAUUAAAAGCCUUUCACAAUCUACGGUAUGAAUGAUUAGAUCUUGAAAAUUUUCGAUGCCCAAGAUAAAUAGUCUUUUUUCCAUUUUAUAAUUGGUGGUGACAUGUAUCAAAUUCACAUAUAGGACAUGCUUUAUGUCCCUUGACGAUGUGCCUAGACAAAUUACCGUAUGUAGGAAAGUCAUUGAUUGUGCAAAAUAACAUGGACGCAACUUAAAGUUAUCACCUAUAUAUGCAUCAUCAACAUCAACGCCUUCCUCCCACAAAAAUCUUAAAUCUUCAAUCAAUUGAAUUAAAUAAACAUCUAUAUCGUUCCCUGGUUGUUUUGCAAUUCAUGCACAACCAUGAAGAUAGGUUGUAAAUUAUGAGAAGAACGGGCCAUGACGUAUGGUUAGUACUCAAAUUACCAAAAUGGUUCAUUUCGUCGGCGGCAAGUCCAAGCCUAAGGUUCCUUAGUUCUAGUGAAAAUAUAGAACUAAGGAAUCACUUUUCUUCCAUUGCAAUAUAUCAGCUGCAUGGCAAAUUUUUCCAUCACACACUCUUUCAUCUGCAUGCCACCUAGUAUUAUUUGCAUCAUUUGCAUUAGAAAACAAUCAUUUGAAACUUUGAACUACCGGUAGGUACCACAUCACCUUGGAAGGAACACCUUUUCUAGUUACAGUAUCAUCAUCUUCAACACAAUUGACCUUCUUCUUGUAGCAUGACUCCCCAUAUCUCGGACACUCCUUCAAGCUUUCAUAUUCUUUCCUAUAUAAUGUGAAAUCAUUUCGACAUGCAUGUAUUUUUGACAUAAUCCAAACCUAUUGGACACAAUAUCUUCUUGGCCUCAUAAUUACGGUUCGACAACGUGUUACCUUCUAGAAGCAUUUCUUGCAACAAUUCAAGAAAUUCAUUAAAACUUUUAUUUGUCCACCCACAUCUUGCCUUAAAAUUAUGUAGUCUUAAUACAAAUGAUAAUCUUGUAAAACUUUUGCAUCCCAGAUACAACGAAUCUUCCAUGUCUUUUUGCAAAAUAUCUACCACAUUAGCAUUCUUGAAAGCAUCUACCCCAAUAUCAUGAAUCAUAUCUUCUAGAGUAUCAUUAAUAAGUUCAUCAUCUUCAACUAUAUGUGACAGAGGUCUUUUUUUGUCACUUCACCAUGCCAUACCUAUUACUUAUAAUUUUGAAUAAUUUCAUCACAACCUAAAUGAUUGAAUAUUCCAUCCCUUGGAUGUUUGUGAAUAUUUCGGAAAACUUUACAAGGACACUAAAAAAUCUCCUUCUCCUUAGGAAGGUUUUUUUCCGCAAAAUCAAGAAAUUGAAUCACUCCAUUCUCAUAAUCUUUACUUAACCUAUUGGAUUUCAUCCAACUACGAUCCAUAAUUACAUACAACUUCUGGAAAAAAAAUAGUACACAAUCAACAAUAACUACCAGAACAACAACAAAUACCAUAACAACAUUAUAGUAAAUAUUAUAAGUCUCAAAAACCAUAAUAACAAAAACAACAACCACAUACGACAAUAACAUCAACGACAUAACAACAACAAUAACAACAACAACAACAACAAUAACAACAACAACAACAACAAUGACAACGAUGACCUAGGGCUACAACAUCAACGACGGAAACAACAAUAAUAAUAAAGAAUUUGUACAUACCGAAAAUAUGAUUAGAGACUCUAUAGAGAAGAAUUCGAGAUUACUUCCUCCUCGGAGAAGAAGGGUGGUGGUUUUGAGUCUUGGAAAACUCCUUCGUUCGCUAGAGAAGAUUGGGUUCCUUUCGUUCGCUGGGAUGCAAAAAGUGAAUGAGACAAAACAUUAUAAUUAUGAAAGAAUAAAAAUUAUUUUGAUAGUUAGUAUCUUAGUUUUCUGUAACAUUAGAGGGAUAAUAUCCGACGUAAAAUGUAUAAAAAAUAAAGGCGAUUUUUAGUUGUAAAUAAAACAUAAAAUUGAAGGAGCUGAGAAUAGAAGCUGAAACACUGAACAACAUUUGAUGUCGGUUUUCCUAGAAAACCGAGGUGAAAGAUAAUAAAGUUUCUUUAAAAAAUAUAAUAUAUAGCGCGUUCAAGGCCAUUAGACCUCAGUUUUUCAAUAACUAAGGUGAAAGCUUCGUCAUGAAACAUAGAAUUUGUAGUAGUGACAUAAUAUAUAUAUACCUGGUCCAAAGAAUCAACAAUGUCGGAAGAGACAAUGUUUAACAUGUUUUUCAUUACAAGAUACUGACACCUGUAUCCCUCUUCUUGUCUCCUCGUCUACAAAUUUAAACAUUUCAUGAAUAUAUAACAACAUAUGCAUGUGUGUGUGUGUGUGUAUAUAUAUAGUUAUAUAUAUAAUAUAAUAUAUAUAUUUAUAUAAUUAUAAAUAUAUAAAUAUAUAUAAUAUACAUAUAUAUAUAUACACACACACACACACAUGCAUAUGUUGUUAUAUAUUCAUGAAAUGUUUAAAUUUGUAGACGAGAGACAAGAAGAGGGAUACAAGGUGUCAGUAUCUUGUAAUGAAAAACAUGUUAAACAUUGUCUCUUCCAAGACAUUUGUUGAUUCUUGGACCAGGUAUAUAUAUUUAUGUCACUACUACAAAUUCUAUUUCAUGACGAAGCUUCACCUUAGUUAUUGAAAAACUGAGUCUAAUGGCCUUGAACGCGCUAUAUAUUAUAUUUUAAAGAAAACUUAUUAUCUUUCACCUCGGUUUUCUAGAAAACCGACAUCAAAUGUUGUUCAGGUUUCAGUCUCUAUUCUCAGCUCCUUCAAUUUUAUGUUUAUUACAACUAAAAAUCGCCUUUAUUUUUAUAUACAUUUUACGUCGNNNNNNNNNNNNNNNNNNNNNNNNNAACUACGAAUUCUAGUUUCAAAGUAGAAUCAAUCUCAAGACAGAAUCGGUUGUUUUGCGGAUUUUGAAAAUAGCCACAGAAGAAGUUAUCGGGAUAAGUCUGCGGAAUAAUUCGCUCUCUUUAAGACGUUUCACGACACGCCAAAAGUUAUACAAAGCAGUUGAACUACUGCGCCACCGCCAGAUAAACAACUCAGUUCUAUAUUAUACGAUUACUAUUUACACGAUAGAUAAUUGAUUCUAGAAAACACCCUCUGAUGGUAUAAAAACUAUUUGAAUAUGAUAUAAAUACCACUCAUAGUAUUUUGUACAAAGACUAUUCGAAUAUGGUAUAAAAUACUACUUGAUGAUUGUCUCGUGUGUUUAUAGGAAACUUGAGAAAAUAAUGAUAAUAAAAAAAAAUACAACAAAAGAGACGAGGAUUCCGUGAGUCAUGAUCGCAAUUCCAUUUCCACCAUCACAACAUGAGAAAUGCAAGAGAGAUCGACAAAGACAAAUUGAGAGUACACUUCAGAUGCCUCAAGAGAAGUCGUUGAAAAAAAAUGCAAGAGGGUUCGCUUUUGGUAAUUAAUUUUUUUUUUCAUGUUGUGUGUAGGAUUCAUUCGUGUGUGUUGGCCACCGUGAAGGUUCUUUUGUUCUAGAACUACGAUAUGAAGUAUUAAUAGAAGCAGUUCGAACAGAGGAGCAUGAUGGACGUGUCUGUGGUGUUGGAGAUGACAUAUGCUUGAGAUUAUUCUAUGGUAUAUCCAAAAAAAGCAACGUACAAAGCAAAAAGAAAUGAUUGAAGAGUUGAGAAGAAGUUGGAAAGAUAAAAUAAAGAAUUUGAAGAUGCUUUAGCAAAGGAGCGAAAAAUCGAAGGAAAGAUGUGGAAGAAAUGUGAAAGAGUUAUAUAUUGGUAUGUGAGAAUAUUGUAUAUCUUGAAAUGUAUGAUAUAUUAUUGUGUUGAUUCUAUUUAUGUUUCUGUUAUUUUAAUGAUGUAGAGAAUCAGUAAAAUUGCCCAAUAAUGUAAACAUGCAGUUUGUGAUGAUCAAUUCCUUAAAGAAUUAUUACGUAUGCAAGAACAGAAGACGUUGUUCAGGCAUCCCCACCGAUAAUGAGAUCCAUAAUGGGUUAUUGACUCUUCUGAAUAAUCAAUAAACCAAAUUAUUAUGUCAUAUAUGGAUAAGAAAGAUCUAAUCCUCUUGAGGUAGAACAUGAUCGAUGAGUUAGAGUGAUUAUGUCGAUCCUAAUGACAUUAAAGGAUUUUGCAAUUGGAAAAUAGUGGUUGCAUCUAUGAUACUUCAUGUUUUGGUGCGUGUAGGUAUAGAAUUGGAUAUCUCAUUAUGGUACAUUUAUUCAUUUCGUAUAGAACUAAUUCCUUCACUUAUUUUUGAAUUUUGUUUAACCAUUUAGGUACAUUCACCGUGUAGUAUAUAAUUAAAUAAAUCGAAUAUUAUGGAUAUUGUCCCAGUUAGUAUUUGAUUACAAGUAAUAGCCCAAAAAUGUUGAAACAUAGAUAACAUCACAGUUAGAUGCAGAAAAGACUGUUACUUAACAUCAUUUAACCACAGCGUGAGUAAUUUUUGAAAUUAUGGUUUCUCUAUUAUAAUUAGUUUUCCAUAUUUUACCAAAAUAUAAUUAUAUAUGCCUGUGUUCAUUAUGAUAACAUUUUCAAUUGAUCAUCGCAUCUCUUCGGAAGAAUACAACAAUUACAUCGUGUUCUUUACACAAUCCACUUAAAUUUAAGAUGAAACAAAAUUAUUACUAGGUAAGUUUAUGUUAUUAAGGAUUUAGUAAUAUUUUCUCGGACUUUAUAAUUAGUUUUAGCGCGUAAUAUUUUUAAAAUAUUUUUUAAUAUACAGGGUAUGGAGUGACACUAUUUUUUACGAACAAUCUAAAAAAACUCACAUUUUGUACGACCAAAUAAGUGGAUUAUAUGUGACACUUCAUUAUAUAUAUAUAAUAUAUUAUAUAUAUAUAUAUAUAUAUAUAUAUAUAAUAAUAUAUAUAUAUAUAUAAUAUACUAUAAUAUAUAAAUGAAUGUCACAAAUAAUCCACUUAUUUUGGUCGUACAAAAUGUGAGUUUUUUUUAGAAUUGUUCGUAAAAUAGUGUCACUCCAUAACCCUGUAUAUUAAAAAAUAUUUUAAAAUAUUACGCGCUAAACUAAUUAUAAAGUCCGAGAAAAUAUUACUAAAAUCUUAUAAACAUAAACUUACCUAGUAAUAAUUUGUUUCAUCUUAAAUUUAAGUGGAUUGUGUAAGGAACACGAUGUAAUUGUUGUAUUCUUCCGAAGAGAUGCGAUGAUCAAUUGAAAAUGUUCACUAAAUGAACACAGGCAUAUAUAAUUAUAUUUUGGUAAAAUAUGGAAACUAAUUAUAAUAGAGAAACCAUAAUUUCAAAAUUACUCACGCUUGGAUAAAUGAUGUUAAGUAACAGUCUUUUCUGCCAUCUAACUGUGAUGUUAUCUAUGUUUCAAUCAUUUUUGGGCUAUUACUUGUAAAUCAAAUACUAACUGGGACCAAUAAUCCAUAAAUAUUCGAUUUAUUUAAUUAUAUACUAACACGGUGAAUGUACCUAAAUGGUUAAACAAAAUUCAAAAAUAAGUGAGGAAUUAGUUCUAUACGAAAUGAUAAAUGUACCAUAAUGAGAUAUCCAAUUCUAUACCUACACGCACCAAACAUGAAGUAUCCAUAGAUGCAACCACUAUUUUCCAAUUGCAAAAUCCUUUAUGUCAUUAGGAUCGACAUAUAAACACUCUAACUCUCGAUCAUGUUCUACCUCAAGAGGAAUUAGAUCUUUCUUAUCCAUAAUAUGACAUAAUAAUUUGGUUAUUGAUUAUUCAGAAGAAGUCAAUAACCCAUUAUGGAUCUCAUUAUCGGUGGGGAUGCCUGAACAACGUCCUUCUGUUCUUGCACUACGUACAAUAAUUCUUUAAGGAAAUUGAUCAUCACCAACUUCAUGUUUACAUUAUUGGGCAAUUUUACUGAUUCUCUACAUCAUUAAAAUAACAGAAACAUAAAAUAGAAUCAACACAAUAUAUAUCAUACAUUUCAGAUAUCACAAUAUUCUCACAUACCACAUAUAACUCUUUCAUUUCUUCCACAUCUUUCCUUCGAUUUUUCCGCUCCUUUGCUAAAGCAUCUUCAAAUUCUUUAUUUUAUCUUUCCAACUUCUUCUCAAACUCUUCAAUCAUUUCUUUUUGCUUUGUACGUUGCUUUUUUUGGAUAUACCAUAGAAUAAUCUCAAGCAUAUGUCAUCUCCAACACCACAGACACGUCCAUCAUGCUCCUCUGUUCCGACUGCUUCUAUUAAUACUUCAUAUCGUAGUUCUAGAACAAAAGAACCUUCACGGGCCAACACAACCAAUGAAUCCUACACAACAUGAAAAAAAAAAUUAAUUACCAAAGCGAACCCUCUUGCAAUUUUUUCAACGACUUCUCUUGAGGCAUCUGAAGUGUACUCUCAAUUUGUUCUUUGUCGAUCUCUCUUGCAUUUCUCAUGUUGUGAUGGUGGAAAUGGAUUGCGAUCAUGACUCACGGAAUCCUCGUCUCUCAUUUGUUGUAUUUUUUUUAUUAAUCAUUAUUUUCUCAAGUUUCCUAUAACACACACGAGACAAUCUACAAGUAGUAUUUAUACCAUAUUCGAAUAGUCUUUGUACAAAAUACUAUGAGUGGUAUUUAUAUCAUAUUCAAAUAGUUUUUAUACCAUCAGAGGGUGUAUUUCUAGAUCAAUUAUCUAUCGUGUAAAUAGUAAUCGUAUAAUAUAGAACUGAGUUGUUUUAUCCUGGAGGUGGCGCAGUAGUUCAACUGCUUUGUAUAACUUUUGGCAGUGUCGUGAAACGUCUUAAAGAGAGCGAAUUAUUCCGCGACUUAUCCCGAUAACUUCUUCUGUGGCUAUUUUCAAAAUCCAAAAACAACCGAUUCUGUCUUGAGAAUUGAUUCUACUUGAAACUAGAAUUCGUAGUUUUUAAAUUUAAAUAUGACUUUUAUAUUAAAAUUUACUGUUAAAAUCCCUUCUAUAUAAAUUAUCCAAACAUAAAUUAUUUUAUCUUCAACUAACUUUUAGCUAGAAUAAAGUUUACAAUAAUGAAUUCAUUCAAAAUUAAUUAUUAUAACCCUUGUCUUUCUUUUACUAUCUAAUUGAUAUCAUGUAAGUACUCAAAUUUAUGUAAUUUGAAAAUGUUGAUUUAAAAUUGAAAAGAUGAUUCAAUUGAUCGAUGUUUUUUCUAAUAUAGAUGAUAAAUUAUUCUUUGGAAGGAUUAAAUUGAUUGAUGAUUGCAAUUUCCAGCAAUAAAAUGUUUAUAUAUUUCUAAGUAUUUGAUUUUAAUUGUGAAAUGAUGGAUGAUUAGCUUAAUAGAAGUUAACAACACAUAAUAAGCGCGUAAUAGGUCCCAUUAUCGGUUGUUACAACGCUAAAAUCCUAACAAAGCCUAAUACAUGAUCCUUUGCCUCCCACCCUCCAUGAAAAUAUAAAUAACAACAAGACACAUACAUAAUGAACGAGAGAGGAACAUGGGUCCAGAACCUCUAAGCCAAGGGUCUUGGCUUAUAUAUACCCAAGUCUUAGCCACUUAUUUGACCACAACAACACACAACAUGGGUUCUUCAUUUUGGACGUGUGUUUGAUUCUAGCAUCACUUGUUUCUUCUUCAUUCUGUGCUCCCCAAGGAAGCCAGUGGAUGUACCAUUUGGUAGAAACUAUUACCCUACUUGGGCUUUUGAUCAAUAUCAAAUACUUCAAUGGCGGUUCUGAGAUUCAGCUUCAUCUUGAUAAGUCCACUGGUUAGUACUGUUUAUUAUUCUUCCUGUAUAGUUUUAAACCUGUCACUACACUGUUCAUGUAUCUAACUAGUUUUUGAACAGGUACUGGUUUUCAGUCCAAAGGAUCAUACUUGUUUGGUCAUUUCAGUAUGAACAUUAAGAUGGUUCCCGGUGAUUCUGCUGGAACAGUUACUGCUUUCUACGUAUGUAGUACAUGUACAUAAAAUUAUAGUUUUUUGUUUCUAUUUUUAUUAGUAAUGACAUUAGAUGUGAACGGAACUACUUUUCAUGCAGUUAUCUUCACAAAAUGCUGAACAUGAUGAGAUAGAUUUCGAGUUCUUGGGGAACAGAACAGGACAACCUUACAUUUUACAAACAAAUGUGUUCACUGGUGGACAAGGUAACAAAGAACAAAGGAUUUUUCUUUGGUUUGAUCCAACAAAAGAAUUUCACAGAUACUCCAUUCUAUGGAACAUGUACCAGAUUGUGUAAGCAUUACUUGACUCAACUACUAUUGCAAUAUUGAUAAAACAAUAUAGCUUAACCUAUAUGAUUGAUUUGAUUGCAGUUUCUAUGUGGAUGAUGUUCCAAUAAGAGUGUUCAAGAACAGCAAAGAUUUAGGAGUGAAAUUUCCAUUUGACCAACCAAUGAAAAUAUACAACAGUUUAUGGAAUGCAGAUGAUUGGGCAACAAGGGGUGGAUUAGAGAAAACAGACUGGUCAAAAGCACCAUUCAUAGCAGGAUACAAAAGCUUCCACAUUGAUGGGUGUGAAGCAUCUGUUAAUUCAAAAUUCUGUGCAACACAAGGAAAGAGAUGGUGGGAUCAAGCUGAGUUUCGUGAUCUUGAUGCAGCUCAAUGGCGUAGCUUAAAGUGGGUGAGAGAAAAAUACACCAUUUACAAUUACUGCACUGAUAGAAAACGUUUACCUCAAAUUCCCUCCGAAUGCAAAAGAGAUGGUGACAUUUGAACUUUCAUGCAUACUUUUACCACUUACUUUACCAUAAAUCUCUUCUCGUAAGUAUUUGUAUCAUAAAUUAUUUGUUCUUGUCUUGUCACCGUUAUUUCAUUUGAUCAACUAUGUAAUAUUUCAAGGUUGAACCUAAGGAAGCCUUUAUAUAUGUAUCUGUAAUUCUAUAUUGAUUGGUCAUUUAUCAAGAAAAAUAACAUUUGUUUGCUAUUGCCAUUUCAUGAUAAUAAUAUGAUCUUGAUAUUUCAUAA